UGGGCCCCAGCCCCACGGAGCAGCCCAGUAUUCAGGCUGGUAGAGCAGAUCACCCCCAAAGCAGGAAGUUCCACAUCAAAUAUGCAUAAGAAGCAACCUCAAAACUAACAAAAAGAUUCGCACACUCCUCAGUUCAGAGGAGGAGCAGAGAUUAAGAAAAGGAGAAGAAAAGCGCUCGGAAGAGAAGAAAAGGAACCUCCUCCUGUGUAGCAGGCGCCUGGCCCGGGGAGGGCGGUGUGCGGCAGGCACGUGCAGGGGAGCAGCCUCUGAAAUGCCUAGAAAUAGCUCCCAGGCGUUCACUUGGCUCCCAAACAUCUUCAGAGGUCAAAACCAUCACAGUGGGCAACUUUCCACCAGUGACCCCAGUGUUCACUGUCCUCAGCCCACUGCAGAGCCAUCCUAAUGGGGCAGUGGACGCAGGGCGCGGGCUCCUGACUCCAGUGAGGCCACCCUGGAGGGAGUCCCAGGAAUCAGCCUAAUGUUCAGAACCUUCCCGGCAUCUCAGAAGUGUACUGGGGGAGACGUGAGGACCCUUCAGCCAAGUGUCAGCAUUCUCAUUGCAGGAGAACAUCAAAGCCGCAACCCAGAAACUUCUCAGGAGCAUGGCGCACCCACACCAGCCCCGGGCUUCACCUGGACAGCACCUCCUGGGCCACCCUGACCAGCGGGCACCACCCUCCCAGGCUCACGCAGCCACCCUGACCAGCAGGCACCAUCCUCCCAGCCUCACGCAGCCACCCUGACCAGCGGGCACCAUCCUUUCAGCCUUGCUCGGCCACCCAGACCAGAGAGUGGCCCUGACCAGCAGGCACCAUCCUCCCAGCCCCACUCACCUGCCGUGACCAGCAGGCACCAUCCUCCCAGCCUCACUUGGCCAGCCGAGCUCUGUGGGCCUCAGAGUGCAGAGUACCUCAAAUGUUGUGACUUUGCUCGGCUGCAGGGACGUGCCAUGGAGUGUCCCUUGUGCGAGCAUUUUGUGAGCUAUGCCAGCAUCUGUCCCCACAGGCUGCAUCCCUGAGCCAUUUCUCAGGAGAGCAGGAAGUGAGCAGGGGGAGGGGCGCUGCCAGCCAGCCCUGGGACCAGAGGUCUGGGGAUGCAGCCAGCCAGCCCUCCUCAUCUGGGCCUCUGUUUCCUCUUUGACACGGGGAAGCAGGGAGGGGCCGAUCAGCGACUGAGGCUCGUUGGCUCUGGUGGGGUCCACCUGCGUUUCUGGAGAGCCCAUGGACCCCGGACUGUACCCGGACUUCAUUCCCAGUGACCUCUCCUAUUGGUCCCCAUUUGGGGCACUGAGAUGUGACCGUUUCUUUCCUGUGAAUGAGCUGACAUCAAAACAUGCUGCAGAGGAAGAUAGGCCUUAGGGACAGCGUCCUGCGCCUCUGCACCAGGAGAAAAGCCAUGUCCCCAAGGGAGACUCAGAGCUGAGGUGGUGGUGGGCAGGGCUCCUGUGGAGCUGGGGCAGGGCAGGGUGUCUCUGAGGUCAGUGAGGAACAGCUGAGCCCAGGGAUGCGGGAAGGAUGGGGGUGCACUCUGGGAUGGGGCCGGCAGGGAGCCUCGUGCUUACAGAGCCUGGUGUUGGCACUCUCCUGGUUUCCUCUGCAAACCCAGCCACAUGGUCAGGGAGCCCGGGCCGAGCAGACGGCCCCCACCUUGACAGAAUCCCAGGGUCGUGCGUGGCAGUGGGAGCGACCUCACAGCCAAGACUGGGUCUAACGCUGCUGUCCCACAGUCACCCCUGCAGGCGGCUCAGGGCAGGGCUCUGGCCUGAUGGGGGUUCCUGGACAUGCCUCUGAGCUGGCAGCCCCUACUUCACCUGGACAGGUGCACAUCCCUGCACCCCUGCACCUUCCAUGCCUCUCGCCCUGGGGCCCAGGUUCAGGUUUGUGGGGAGUACAGCACCGUGCUCCCGUGGCCACCGCUCAGGCGAGUGGAUUCAGUGAGAGUUUUCAGUGUGUGCACCUCUGUCCCCGUGUGCCUGUUUCCUGGUGAGGCUGGACACCUGGCAUGUCCGAACACUCUCAUUCCCCAGGCUGGGCACCUGGCAUGUCCGAACACUCUCAUUCCCCAGGCUGGGCACCUGGCAUGUCCGAACACUCUCAUUCCCCAGGCUGGGCACCUGGCAUGUCCGAACACUCUCAUUCCCCAGGCUGGGCACCUGGCAUGUCCGAACACUCUCAUUCCCCAGGCUGGGCACCUGGCAUGUCCGAACACUCUCAUUCCCCAGGCUGGGCACCUGGCAUGUCCGAACACUCUCAUUCCCCAGGCUGGGCACCUGGCAUGUCCAAACACUCUCAUUCCCCAGGCUGGGCACCUGGCAUGUCCGAACACUCUCAUUCCCCAGGCUGGGCACCUGGCAUGUCCAAACACUCUCAUUCCCCAGGCUGGGCACCUGGCAUGUCUGAACACUCUCAUUCCCCAGGCUGGGCACCUGGCAUGUCUGAACACUCUCAUUCCCCAGGCACGCAUGUGCAGCCGCCGCCACCCGUGUACUACGGCGCUGACCCCUCCUGUAACAGCUGUGGUCUUGGCCUCUCGUGUUGGGGCAGAUGUCCCCUUUUCCACUGUUACUUUCUGUUGUCCAAAACUUUAAGUGUCCUGCCAGCCAAAGCUGUUGAGCAUGACUCUGAGACCAUCAGUCCUUGGUAAGUGUCCUGUGCAUUUGGGAUAAGCGUCUGUUUGCAGCUGCGCUUCCUGUGACUUGCUCUGCGUGUCCUCCUCGGUCCGCGUGGGCCACUGCGCUGGUUCCCAGCCUGCCCGACAUGCUCGCUGCGACACCUCCCUUCCCUGCUGCUUGCUGGCUUCUGUGUUCUCUGCAGUAAACAUUGAUUUCUGA
rnacentral:lncRNA from 1 species